rnacentral:lncRNA from 1 species
ACUCAACUUGUCGUCCGUUCACAACUUCUCUCAUCAAUUCUUUUGGGAAAUUGUUGUCCCACAUUAACUCCGGAAAAUGGUCAAGACAUAAUUUGACAAUUUCAUGGGUUCCGCGAUAUGCAGAGUCAAGGAUGAUGCCUGAAGUCAAUAAAAAUUUGACUAUUUCCGAGGGUUUCAUAUUUUGAUUCUUCAGAACAAGUUCUUCUGCAAACGCUAGUGAGCAUUUGUGUCUCAACUUUGAUUCUCCAAUCCUUUUGAUGAAAGGUACUGCAUGUAACAUCAGAUAAACAUUUUUCCCACAAUGAGGAAUCAAAAGGUUAACGAGGCUAUCACAUUUCAGCCAGGGUCUCAUGUAAAUAUAGUAGUUAAGAAGAAAAUGGUGGAUUCAAGAAAGCGAACUACAUGCGGCUUAAAAACCAAAAUGCAUGCAUUGUCGGAUAGAUGGAUCUAUCCACGAAUGCACCCAAUGUCAAGAGAAAAAAGAGUUCCUUUCUUUCUAAAUGAAAAAUGGGUAGAUUCAGCGAUUGAUCAAUAAAUCUGUUUUCAAUUGAUAAUUUUUACAGAUUCACCUAAUGAAUACUUAUUGUUUAGACUUUGAAUUGAAUCAAGUUGUGUCAUAAUAUAUGAAUCAAGAGCCGGUCGAUAUUAGUAAAACCAUAAUCUCAUAGUAAUAUUCUGAAAAUGUCAAUUUUAAACUUUAAGUUUCGAGAUCUUUAGCUAUGGAUAACAUAAGGUGCCUUUUAUGUAGAAACCAUGGCUGGUUUGAAUACCUGGUUUAGUGGCAUGAUUCCAGAGUGAUCUCUUGAACCACGUAUGUGCUGGUUGGACCACCACGAAGAGGAAAGAAGAAUCAUAUCAGGAAAUUAGGAAUUGACGGCGAACAAAAAGAUACAUAUGACUCUCAUGAAUGAAGAUUUCACGUGUAACUAGAUAUAAUAAUGCUUAAAUUUGUUAGAGAACAACUUGGAUCAAUCCACCUCUAUGACCUUAAAUCCAAAUCUACAAUUCUUGAUGAUUCUACUUGGCAAUUUGACAUUGAGUAAGACUUCUCAACUAACUUCACAAAUGUUAUAGUAGAUAUUAGUCGUGGCAUACAUCAUGGUUUAGAUAAUAAUUUGUGUACAUAGAUGUAAUCAUUGUCUCUUAAUUUAGAUAUUACGUAGAUUAAUAGAAAUACCUUGAGCCAUCUUUGUAUCUUUGAGGUUGUCAAAUGAUGUAUUGACCAAACAUAGAGGGAUACCUAAUAAUGAGAAUAGAUAAAGUGAACACCAUGUGAAUAGAAUUGCUCGAAUUCUACAUAUCUAUAUGUGCAAGAAGUACCUACAUUUGUAAAUACAUUUUUCCCAAAAAUUGAGUCUAUCUCCACUACGGAAGUAGGACUUCAUCUUCGCCAAGUCUCCCAACAAGCUACGGUUUAUGUUAUCUUUGGAUGUCACUUCUUUGGGGUAUUUGCGAGCUAAAAACAAGCCUAUGUCUAUUGAGACACAAGAAUGAAAAAAUUAAUUUAAGCAAACAGUCAAGGAAGUGAGAUAAGAUAAGGCAAAAAUUACCCAAUCACUCUUAAACCUUUUAUACGGAUGCUAAUUUAAACCUAAACUUUUCAAUUUUAUCAAUUUAGUUUAAACCUUUACACGAAUUUCCAACAAGUCCCUCAAGUUAAUUUUUGCUAGAGAUUGUCAACGUUACGAUGAAUGUCCUAAGUGCCCCACUACCACUUAAGCUUCAAGCAAAAAUUGGAUGGAAUGACUACAUUGAAAUUUCGGCAAAAGUUUAUAACUAAAUUGGCAAAAUAGAAAUUUAAGAACUGAAUUAGCAUAUGUACAAUAAGUUUAGGAUUGAUAUAUAGUUUCUUCUAAGAUGAGUGAGUGUGAAAUCAUACCCAAAUGGCCGGCUAGAAUAAGGCGGCUGAUGGUGUUAAAAUCUGGGGCGGAUGUUGUUCGUCUGGCGAGGUGCCAGAUAACCUCCUUUUGCAUAGGAGCAUUUGAAAUAGCAUACGACAGGGCAUUGGCUACAAUAUUGGCAUUGGCUAAAAUAUGAUAUCCGCAACCAGCUUUGUUUAGUAGUGCCUUUACCAUCGUUAUGCUUCCUCUUCGGGCAGCAUCGUAGAGGACACUCCUCAAAAUGGAUCCUUUGUAUGCUGGAUCCAAGCGGUCGACGAGCUUCUCGACCAAUGGAUAGUGAUCUUGUGCGGCCAUAACCACAAAUUCAAGCACCCUAACGGGUUUAUUUCCUACAGUCAUGACAUUUUCCAUCAUCUCUUCGAGAUCUUUACCAAGGAUUUCCUCAGCAGCUUUCCAUUGACCUUUCACUACGUCUUGAAACCAUGAUCGAUGCUUUUCAUUGAUCUCUGGUGUUGGCAUAACUGAAAAAAUUACACAUUAAAGUCCUCAAACUUUCGCACUUUUUUUUUUUAGGUCAAGUGUAACCACUGCACCUAUUCAAUGUUCCAAUGAAAGGUGGAUGCAAGCAAAGGGGUAUUGUUUACUCAACAUACCUCCUUCUAUGAGUGCCUUCAUUUACACUUUGGAAGUAAAAACUAGCUUUUUGGCUUUCUCGAUUAUAAUUCAAUAUAUUAUUUAGAUUUUAAAAGUUUAGAGAGAUUAUAUUUGAAUUUAAAUGCCAGCUUUUGUAAGCAGUGAAGUUCAAAGUAUUCAGAUUAAAUAAUGUCAAAAUGCAUGAAACUUAAGAUAUAUGAAAAAUGAAAAUUAUAAGUUCAAAAUGACAAACCUUCAAUUGACGUGAAACUGCCUUGGGAAGCUUUAUCAGAUGUGAUUUCUGAGCUCAUAUUUACAUGCAUCUCUUUGUUACCAAAAACAGAAAUGAACAUAAAUAACCUUAGAAACAUUUAUUACACUUUGUAUCCUUUCGAUCAUCUAUACAUGACUAGUAUCGGGAUCAAUCAUUUCAUAAAACAUUUUUUAAAUAUACUUAGAUUGUAAACUCUUAAAAAAAAGAAUUUUUAACAUUAACCUUUAGUUUUUGAUCGAUUUGUGAUCGUCGUGCACACUUCAAUCAAAGUUGGUUUGCAACCAUCUUAGGACGCUUUUUCAGUUGCCGUGCCUUCUGAACUUACUUCUACGUGAAUCUCUUUGUUAACGAAAAGAGAAAAGAACAUAAAUAACCAUCUUAAAAUGUUUCGAAGUGAAAAAAGCCAAAAUGCAUGGAACACAUUGAUAUAUAAAAAAUGUAAAUUAAAAGUUCGAAGCGACAAACCUUUAGUUUUUGAUUGAUUCAUGGUGCUCAUGUUGUCUUGAAAUGAAAUUGAAAUGUGACCAUUUUGAGAAGCUUUAUCAGUUGACGUGCCUUCUAACCCCAUGUCUAUGCGAAUCUCUUUGUUAUCAAAAAGAGAAAUGAACAUAAAUAAACUUAGAUAAAUGAACUACACUUUGUAUGCUUCAGAUGAACUAUAAAUGACUAGCAUGAGGCUCAUUCAUCGCAUGGAAUUUUCUGUAAUAAACAUAGAUGGUAAAUUUCAAUCAAAAAAAUUGAUGUUAAAUUAAUGAAAUAAUUAUAAAGUAUUUCUACACACAAUUAUCUAUAAAAAAAACCCAACAUAAAAAAAAUAAAUUAAAUUAAUCACAUUGAUUUCAUGAAUUAGUACGAUUAAUUUAUAAGUCAUAAUUCAUAUAGGAUACAAGUUUAUGACAUUUAUUGCCGCUAUCGUAUCGAUGCAUUGCAUGGAUUUUUUGUUGCAUAAAAGUGUAUCGAUUCAACUUCAUAGAAUGCCUUACCGGUUGGAAAAAAGAAUUCAUCUGACGUUUCUUAGAAAAUCCAUAUUAUUUUCUUUUCUUUUGUGGCAAGAACAUUCCACCAUCCAUGUAUCUUGGAGAAUGUGUUUUUUCAUGAAUUUUCUUCUUUAAUGUUAUAUUUACACUUUGUAUAAUAGGGACAGCCAUUUAUCUAGACAAGUUAUUUUUGGGCUCAUUAUAACAUUACAUGAUUUCUUUUAUAAGGAUGACUAUAGUGAAUUGACUAGUUCGUGGAUCAUAUGUUACUGAAGGAUUAGUCUCAUACAUUCUCUUAAUAAGAAGUAAUUAACUAUUCAGUACCCAAUUGGUCUGCCCUUUGCUCUCGAUAAAACUACUUUGUAGGACAAUCGGCUGAAAUUUAAAUAGGAUAUUAAGUAAAUAUAGAAAAUGAUUAGUACUCACGAGGUGAUUGUUUGGUCAAAACUCUCUGAUAAGAUGAAAUUUUCUGGUGGUUAAUUUUAACUAACUGGUCAGUGAGUGCUUCUACGUAAUGGUAUUAGGACCGACAAAAGCUGUAAUUCAUUAUGCGUGUUUACUGUUUACUCGAAAAUGAAUGAAGUAGCUGUACGUGGGGGGCCACACGUUGCUUUUGCAUUUUCAGUCCGGGGAAAUUAGAAUUUUCGGUCCCAGUAGGUUGGCAAAACUCACUCUAAUCACCAUAUUUUGUUUGAUUAUAAUUCCAGUCCUCAUACUGCUAUGUGGUGACAAUUAAGUCACUUUGUCGUAAAUAGAGGAACAAAAAGUGUUAUUUGCCUAAAUAAAUAUAAAGCAAGUUUUUUUUUCAAAAAGAAUAAAUUUAAUUUCUAAUGAUUUAGUUGGACUUUGAAUAUUAGUUAGUUUUCAAUUUUGGUCAAUUUUCUUUUUUCAAGUUCAAAUUUUGAACACGGCAACCAGAAUAUCUACUAAAAGUUUUUUCAUUAAGAAUUUUGGAAAGGAAAGUAGGAAAUUCGAAUUUUUUUAUACCAAACAUGCCCUCAUGUUCUGCACAAAUAAUUCUGUGAUCAAGCUCUCCCUUUUUUAUAAGGAUUUUGUGAAGAGUGUCUAAAAACUGUGAAGCAAUAAAUAAAGAAAUCUACAAUUUUCAAUUCAUUAUCUAUCCAUAGUAUCAGUGAUGGUAUUACUUAUAUUAUUUCGAAAUUGACAUACAAAAGGGAAAACAUUUUAAAUUCUCCAUUUGAGAAAUCGAAUCAGAACAACAAAGGAACGGAGGGACUGUACCUGCCAACGAUUCCAAAACCGAACUGUCUUGGGUAUCCAUGGAUGGUUUUUUGCCGUUGCGUCUUUCAUGUUGUUCUGCAAAAGAAUGACAAUAAGUAUUAUUUGCCUGAAUAAACUCAAAGCAAUUUUUUUUUCAAAAAAAAAAAAUUAAUUUCUAAUGAUUUAGUUGGACUUUGAAUAUUAUUAAGUAUUCAAUUCUGGUCAAUUUUCAGUUUUAAGGUUUAAAUUUUGAAAACUUGGCAACCGGAAUAUCUACUAAAAAGUAUUUUCAUUAAAAAUUUUGGUAAGAGAAAUAGGAAAUUGGAAAAUUUUCUUUUACCAAACAUGCCCUCUCAUUCUACAUAAAUUAUUCUGUUAUCACACUCUCCCUUUUUUGAUAAGGAUUUUGUAAAGAGUGUCUAGAAACUUAUUAAGCAAUAUAUAAAGAAUUGUGCAACUUUCAAUUCAUGAUCUAUCCAUAGUUUCAGUUACAGUAUUACUUAUGUUACUUCGAAAUUAACACACGAAGGGAAAAUUUCCCAAAUUCUCCAUCUGUUGGAUCAAAUCAGAACACCAAAGGAAAGGAGUGAUUAAACCUGUCGAUGGUUCCAAAACCGAACUGUCUUGCGACAUGGAUGAUUCUUUGCCGUUGCGUCUUUCUUGUCGUUCUGCAAAUUAAAGAUUAAUUAAUAAUUGAAGGAAGUUACCGGAUACCGCUAAUACAAAUUAGAGCAGUUUUAUCAUUUGGCGCCAUACACCGCCCAGCGAUUUGAGGCAAAAAAUGAAGUGAACAAAUUCACUAGUGGCACGGUGGCACCCAAUGCUACAGUCUAUACUGUAUAGUAUGUUACUUGGCUCGACACAUUUGGUUCCGAAAUCCAUAUUUUCAAGCAGAAAAUAGCCACAUGGUUUGUUUGUGGCCUCGUACUUGGAUUUUUUAAAAUGAAUGAAUCAACUUAAUGAUAUCGAAUUCAUCGAUCAAUGCCAUAUAUUUAUAAGUUACAAUUCAUAUAGAAUCAAAGCUUAAUAACAUUCCUCGUACCAAUUUACUUAAUGGAAUUUUUUUUCAAUAAAAUAUAUUGGAAAAAAUUGUUUAAAAAGUCUUAGACCUAUUGUACUUUUCCCAAUUUAGUCAUGAACCUUUUAACUUUACUAAUUGAGUCUUAAACCUUUUAAUUUUUUAUCAAUUGAGUCAAUUUGGUCAGGAAUUUGCUGACAUGGAAAAGAACCAAUUCCACAUUUUUACCAUUCCCAAUAAAAUAGCCAUGUGUGGGUACACAAUCAAUCUUAGCCAAAGUAUUAUAAUUUCUUUUCCACAAAUUACACCAUUUUCUGUAGUCCACCAAAAUAUUUUUGGCAUUGUUAACUGACGCCCGGUUAUUUUUCAAUUAAAAUACCAAAAUUAAUUAAUUUAGGAAUAAAUCCUAAAAUUACAAUUAAAUCAAUUUAGCACAACUUAAGGCUCAAUUAAAUAAACAAAUCGCACCACGAUAAUCAGCAUAAAAUUCCGGUUAUCGACUAUCUCGGUCUAAUUUCCAGAAAAUAAAUAAAUAAAUAUAAUUAUGAAAAAUAUUAAAUAAAUACUAAUAAAUCAAACUUAGGCCCGUAAUACCUGAUUGGAAGCCGAAACGGACCCGGAAAAAUUCUGAGACUCAUUUAAUAAAUACUAGAGUUUAUUUACUCACUAAUUACACUAACCAUCUACCUAACAUGCAUUGGUAAAUCACUAAUUUAAUUACUCUAAACUAAUCUAUCCACAUAAUUAUGCUUAAUUAAAUCUAAUCAACCCCUAAAUAUCAUUAACAUACUAAGCGAGGAUUAGUGAGUUAAACUCACCGGAUUAACGAUUCGACUGGACCGACGAAGGCGAUGCGACAGCCGCCGAUAAUUUCCAAAGCGGCGGCACCAACGGGGGCCCGGAUCGGACCGAAAUCGGCCCCGCAAGGUCACACGGUUGCUGUCCGGUUCUGGUUCGAAGGGGGCUGAGCGGGGCCGAACAAACCACCGUGCGAGGCUGCUGGUUCGACUUCAAGGGAGCUGGCCGCGCACGAGCUUGCGGUCAACUACGGGGCUUCGCUGCUUGGGCUCGAGGAACGUCGUUGGCGGAGAGAUGCUGCUGGGGCGUGCUGCAGCUGGAAACGGAGAGAGAAGCAGCUGGCGGUCACAGAAGGAACGGAGGGAUUGGUUUGGUGGGGGACAGGCGCGGAUUGGAAGAAGUACGAAGGAGCUGCUCAGUCCCACCUGACUUCAAGACAGUUGGUGUUGUUCGAAGGAAAUGAAGAAAACCGAAGCUGCGUCCAAGUGAGGAGGAGGAGGUGGAGGGAAAACCAAAUAGAAGACCAAAAGGAAAAUAAUUGGCAGCAGCGGAAGAGAUAAGGAGGGGCAGAAGGGACGGUCAUGGGGGAACGAACGUGUAGAAAAAUAAAAGAAAAGGAGGAGAGAGAAGAAUGAAAGAAAUGGUCCAAGUCAAAAGGGGAGAAAGGGGCUUCGGCAAAGGUGGUUUGUCAGAUGGGGAAACGAGAGAGAGAAAAGUGUGGGCGUGCGGCCAAAAGGGGGAGGGGAAAUAGGAAAAUAAAAAGGAAUUUUCUAUAACUCAAAAAUUGUGGUCGUACUUGCUUUUAUUUAGUCCAAAUUGAUUCUCUUGUUUAGUUCAAAUUGGUCCCCAAAAAUUCCCAUACUAAAGUACUUAAUCCUUACUUGCUUUCUUGCAUCAAAUUUCCCUAAAGAACAAGUUUCGGGCAACAAAAACGGCUAUUUCCCCCAAUUAUGAAUUCUAUUUCAUUUUUCUCGGAAUCCGAUUUUUUGAACAGAUUUCUUCGAUUGAGGUCCAAUUUGUUGAGGAAAAAUCCCAUAAAAAUUUCCUUUCAUUAAUUCACUUACACUAGAUGCCAAAAUUUCCUUCAAAUUGGCCAAUUCGAAUUUCCAUUCAUUUUUUGAAUUGUCCAAUCGAUUUUUCGUAAAAAUUCUGAACUCGCCGAAAAUUCUUCAAAAUGUGUGUGAAUGUUCAUAGAAUGACUCACAAUAUGACAUGACUUUCAAUUUCUGAAAUCGAAUUCAAAUUCGUGGUUAAUUUUAAUCUGACGCGGUUUUAACAUAACUUAGCCUACCUAGUAGUUUUUAGGAAUUUUUGGUAUAAUUGACCCGUGGUCGAUUUUCUUCGAGUCACACAUACCUCUUUGACGCAUUGGUGACUCCCGGUGGUCGUGAAAAAUCUCGAGAUUUCAAAUACGAAUACAUGGUACCCAAAAUGAAAGAAAAUCGGUCUAGGGCCGAUCGACGAGAAUUUUGUAAUUAGGUGAAAUCACCCACACUUUGAUCACCAUCUCAAUCAAAUCGACCUAUCUCCGGUCUUCGAUCAUUUUUUAAUUGUGCCGCAAUGACCCUUAUAGACUAGCAUGGCUCCUGAUCGAAUUCUCAAGUCCAUCGCAUAUGGCUUCACCGGAUAGGCCAGUUAUCUAAUGAGUAGCUAUCUCAGAGAAAAAAUCUAUAGUCACAUUGACAAAACUCAUUUGUUUUGCCCUUUGCUCUUAAUGAAAUUACUUUGUAGGGCAAUCAGCCGCAAAUUCCCUUUGCAUAUUUGCAUAUUAACUAAGCAUAGCAAAUAAUUAGUCCCCACAGUGUGAUUGUUUGGACAAAAAUCUCUGGUAAGAGGAAACUUUCUGGAAUGCUUUUAAGAAACGAAACUCGGACUGCCAAAAAGAAGUUGGUCGUUGAAUGCUUGUAAGUAAUGAACCAGGAUUGACAAAAAGCAAUUGCAUCAUCAUCCAUAACUAUAAGGGACAGGGAACUUGUGGAGCCAAGUCGUACAAAAUUAGGAGAUGUGACAGUUUUUUUGGUCGAAUAGGAGACGUGAAUUUGAGUAAUAAGAACGUUUACUGUUUACUUGAGAGGAAUAGUCAUGUCCUUGGGCCGAGAAAAUGCAUCAAUGAGCGGUAUUUGGUGGCGACACAUACAUGGGACCAAAUCAGAACAAAGAAGGAAAGAACGGAAAUACCUGGCGAUGUCGAACUGCGUUGGGUAUCCAUGGAGGAUUCUUCGCCGUGCCGUCUCCCGAGCAUGUAAAUAUGAAAGCAGAGAAGUAAUUUUUACGUGGUUGAAACGGAAAUUAUUUUCUGGUCUCAUGGAUCUUCUCUAUUUAUACAUCGACUUGGAGAUGGAGCCAAGGCUCCAGCUGGAGAUGUCAUAUUUAAAAAUUAAAUACGGAACGUCUUCCAUUUGCACCCACGGACGAGGAGACACGAGGAAUAAAUAAUUCACAUUUAGACAAAAACAAUUCAUUACGCACAUGCUAAGUUGUAUCAUUCUUAACCAAAAGACGCCUAAUUAAAAUAUCAAAAUCAGUCAAUGGGGACAAGCAUUUAAAAAUCUAUUGCAUCACUCAUUUUCUGUGAACACGAUGAGUUGAAUACGCAUAUAGUCAUAACAUAUUCUUGGCUACAAAAAAGAUUCCUCAUAAAUUAAGACCAACAUGUGAAUGAGAAAAUGCCAUCCAUAAAAGAUAAAAUAUUGGAAUGAAACACGUUAUAAUUAGGUUGAGAAUAUGAGACAGAUGCAUUCAAUCAAAUGUUUUUGCAGUCUGCCCUUUCGCAGUCGCCUAAGAUAAUCAUAUAAAUUUAGCAUAUGAUGUGAAUGACUCUUCUGUAUUGGUGUGCUUAUGGUGUACUAUAAUACAGGUUAAGUAUUAGUUGGUAGUAGGGGUGAGCAUUAGUUUAGAGUUGAUUUUGGAACAACGUUGGACGACUGGCCCAACCGGUCUAGUCCGACUCCUGGGGAAUUGAUUGGUCCUUGGUUCUAAGGUGGUUAAAGCAUAUACUGUGCAGGUUAGUCCCUAAUCCUGAAGCUUUAGGGUUGGCAACCCGAAUCAAACUAAUAAUUAUUUUUUGUUUUUUGUUUUUUUGGGUCCAGACCCUAAAUAUAUAACUAUAAGUGCGCCUCCUCUUCUUGCGUUGUUUUCCUCUCUCACAAUCUCACUCUCUCCCUAAAUCUCAAAUUAUUGUCGAAAUCAUCCGCAUCUAUCUCUUUGGAGGUAGUUCUUUCAUCAUCUCUCUACUCACCUUCCUUUUGCGCUUUUGCCUCCGAUUGCCUUUCCCUCCCAUUUGCGAUUCUCUAUUUUUUAUAGUUUAAAUAAGUUUAUGUGUUUGUCUUCUAAAGUUUGUUGUUUUAGGCAAGUGGAGAUUUAUGUUGUUGCCUUAUGUUAGAUUUCUAUUUGAUUUGUACUAGUGUUCAUCGUUUGGUUACUACAUAUCACAUUGUCAAUGAAUAUGUAAUUUCAAAGAAUACAUGUAUCCUUUCAAGGAAUACAAAAUUGAAGCAAAAAAAAAACAGAAUUGAUUUGUCCUAAGUUGACCUUAGAACGGGACUAGACCCAUAGGGUCGGUUCAAUCCAUGGUCUUAAGCUCAACAGGGUCGAUUCCCACUUUCCCACUUUGAAAAAUUGGGGACUGGCAUUAUGCGAAUUGAUCUCUAGAUUGGUAGCCUUUCGUUAUCAUGUGCAUGUGGAAUCAAGGUCAAAUCAAGCGAGGUCUCUAGCCAUAGAGCAAUCAAUACAGAAAAUAGUUUUAGGCAUUGUUUAUGUCCAGGGAUCAUCAAUCACCAUGCUCAAGCUCAUGUGAACACGAACCACCAGCCAUGGCGACGAGCAAGGAAUAAAAAAUGUUGAAGUCAACAUAACAACCUCAUGACUUGAGGCAUAAGAAAAAGAAGGUACCAACCGCGUGCUAGUUUUUAUUCCAUUAACAAUUUUUCUUCAAUGUAAGAAUGUUAACUAAGGACAAGUAGCAAUUCGAACUUCCCGACAUACAAUCAUCUCCAAACUGAGUCUCUCAACUAAAACCUUGCGCUAUCAAAAGGCCUCAAAAACAGAAGCUAAGAUACAACACAAGAAGAUUACGUGAUUCAACUCAAAGCUUACGUAUUCAGCUCAAGGCUUACGUUCUUGAGUAAAUGAUAAGACCAAAGAUUCAAAAACUUAUUUUAACAUUUAUUUCAUGUCUCGUGAACAGACACAAUGGUGUCUAGUGUUGUAUGCGUUCGUAUAUUUCGAUGGAAUUAUUAAAAGUGGCUGUAGAAUAACAGAAUCAUUUACGAUAGAAACUGAUCUUUAUAGGACAGCAGAGAAGCUGGCACCCAUCUGGGGGUUGUUAGAAUAACAUAUCAAUUAUUUAUUGACGUGACAUGUGGUAAGUACCGAGACAGAACAGAGAAGAUGACUGAUUUCACAAAAAAUUCUCAAUCAUGAAUUAACUUUGUCAGAUGACAAUACUAGAUCACAAUAGCAUCUUGGUAUUUUCAAAAGGAAUUAUGCGGAUGUAGCCUAUCCUUUAACAACUUCGCCUGCCAUGGCCACAUGGCAGAAACAAAACCUAUAGUCACAUAAUUUAUAUGGGUCAACCUCGGACUACACCAUCUUCAGCACUUUUUAUGCAAAAUCGAUUGUUACAGUUGAAAGCACAUUUGCUUUACACACUCCCAUAUUUAGAUUUCGAAUUACCUUACCCAAGCUAGAAAUUAGACGCAAACUAGGAAUGUACAUCGAUAAUUUUUUGCUUUUGUUCGUGCGUCAAACCAACAAAUCCUAUUUUCGACAAAAUGAAUGUCUCAUCAUGCAAGCCAAGCCACGAAAGAAUAUAAUUAGAGACAAUAUAGCCCUCCUUUUGGAUGGCAGAAUUUCAAGAUUGUGAACCACAAUAAUUAUGUUUUAGACAUGCAUAAGCAACAAGAGGCAAUAGGCGUCAUAGAUCUAACGAAGGGUGUCAAAAAUAUCUGAUUCGAAUCGAAUAAAUUUUUUUGGGUCUUUUGGAUUCUGGUAUCAUACGAUUUAGGUAAUAAGUAAAGGAAUUAGAUAGUUUGAUGGUUGGAUUUGGUUCGGUUCGGGUCAGGUCUCGGUUUCCUCUUAUUUUUUUACUUGGGAUACGGACGAUUGGAACCCACAUGUAGCUCCCUCCAUUGACGCCAACAAUUGCUCAAAACGUCAUCAUUGCCUAAUCAUCCACCAGGGAUCAUGGAGGACACCUCGUUCUUCAAUCUGGUCGAUUUCAUGAGGAACCCGUAUAUGACCGAGCGUUCGUCGGCGUCUUGCUAUGCGCAGUCCUGAUUUGGCUCGCCGUCUUGAUCGGCCUCCUCAUCAGCUGGUGCUGGCUCCCCCGCUGGAAUUGCCUCUUGAUUGGCCUCCUCAUCAGCUGGUGCUGGCUCCCCCGCUGGAAUUGCCUUGUCUACCUCGGCCUCUGCAGCAAGUUCCGGUUCCUUCGGACCGCCCCUCCCUGCUUUGGCGCCUAGCAGCUCUGGUUCACGUUCACAGCGUUCUUGGCCCUCUGCGCCAUUUGGUUCAACUUCAGUGUUGGGAAACAAAUUCCCAAAAAAAAAGAAAAAAAGAUUUGAUACUCAAACGAUCAAAUAUCGAAAUACGAAAACACGGAAACGUGCCUAGAAACAUGUAACACUAAUCGAAGGCAUAUUACGGAGUCUCACAUAUUUUAAUUGCCAUAGAUUAAGUACCGUCACAGUUCUGAGGAAUUCUUUGAAGCCCUGGUUUCGUUCGUCGAGAGAGGUGCGUACUGUUUUUAAAGGGGAAAAAGUGUGACAUCCCAAAUUUUCAACCCUAUCUUCUACUGAAUGAAUCGGGCAUUUCAUUGACGCGUCUAUAGGGUUAUUCUCAGAGCCGAUCACUCUCGAGAUAACUAGACUAUCUGGAGAAACCAUUAAGGAAUUUUAAGGCAAUAGACUUGAGAACUCGAUCAGGAAUCGGCUUCUCGACCGUGUCCAUCUUUAGAGGCCAUUAGGGCACAGUUAUAAAUUGAUUUGAAAUCAGAGAUAGACUGGAUCGACAGAGAUGUGUAGCUAAUCGUGGGUGACACCACUAAAUUGGAAAAUUCUCAUCAACUGACCCUAGACUGAUUUUCUUAUUGUUUUGGUACCCUGUGUCGGUAUUUGGGUCCUCGAGAUUUUCACAAUAAUCGAGAGUCGCCAAUGAGUCGAGUGGGUUCAUAGUGGUUCGAAGAAAAUCGACCAUGAGUCAUUUGCAUUUAAAAAUAUCUGAAAGUUACCCGAUAGCCUAGGUCACGCUAAAAACGCGUCAAGUUGAAAUUAACUGAGAAUUCGAGUCCGAUUUCAGAAAUUGAAGUUUCGGUCAUGUCACAAUAAAUUCUAUGACUCACGAAUUAGUCUUAGAAGAUUUUUCGGAGAUUCCGAGAUUUUUACGGAAAAUCGGAUCGGACGUCGCGGAAAAUUUACGGAAAUUCGGAUGGACUCAAUUGAAAGAAAUUUGGACUUCCCACCCGAGCCCUUGAGUGUCGGGGACUUGCAGAAAAUGGAAUGGGAUUUUCUACAUCAAAAUUUGGACUUCAAUUUUUGGGAAUUUGUGGAAGAGGUUGAUGACCAAAAAUUAAGAAAUUCGGAGCUAGGAGAAUGGGUGCAUUUUUGGCUUCAAAAAUUGGAUUAUUUGGUGAUUUUACUUUGCAAGAAAGUAUUAUGGACAAGUAGGAUAAGAUUGGAUUACUUUUGGGGGACCAAGCAUUCAAUAUAUUGGUUAAGGUUAUUGACUUUUGCUCCCCUCUCAGCCGGCUUCUCGUGCACGCCCGCGACGUCCCCUCCGUCUUCUUCCUCAAUCCCAUCUCCUUCAGCCUCUGUCUUUGCUUUCAUUUCUUUUUGCUCCCUUCGAAGACCGCUCGCUCAUCCCUCAUCCAUGCCCCUCAUCCAUCAUCAUCUUUCCUCCACUCCCUCUCUCUCUAUUUGCUGCCCUCUCCACCCACGGAUGUCCCAUGCAGGUCAACCCUCACCCACCGUAAUUCCCUUUUUGUUGACCCAUCUUCACGCCUACGAAUUUCACUGAAGAUUCCAGCAAGCCGACGCGUCCACCGAGUCCACCUUCAUCCGCGGCCCACCUCCUCCUUUGUCCACCAAUCAAUCGAAGCCGAGUCUCUCUCCAUCGAUUUUCAACCGCAGCAGCUCCUUCCCAGCAUCCGCAACACCAUGCCAGCGAAGCCAUCCCACCUGCAGCUCCACUUCGGUUUGUCUUCACGGUCAACAAACCGGUGAAACUCUCCACCAAAUUUGACCGCAAGUUCCACGAUUGGUGGUCCACGACGCCACCUGGCCCAACGUCCCCGAGUCAGCUUCUCUCCCUCGAAGUCCCGCGGUGGACUCCAAUCCAGGCGUCGACGUCAGCCCGCAGUCCACCAAAACAGCUGCUCCGCGUGCGUUUUCCUUCGUUCAGCUGGUCCGGGUGUCUUGGGCCCAACAGAUUUUCAACGGUCCAACAGUUGGGCCCGUCCAUGAGCCCAAGAGUCCAGCAAAGCCCAUCUCAACUUAAGCCCAGCCCAAGAAGCAGCCCAUCAAUUGAGUUUUGAGGUCCAGUCCACCCCAGCCACUUCAGUUCAACGUGCAGCCCAGUAGUCUUCAAGCCCGCACCAAUUAAAGCCCAAGAGUGAGCCCAAUUCCAGUAAAUCAAUUUCAGCCCAGCCCACAAAUUGAAGCCCAUCUUCAGCAAGCCCAAUUCAAUUUGAGUCCAACCCAAAAGCAAGAACAAAUCUCAGCUGGGCCGAGAUUUGUUGGGCCAAGCUUAAGGCCCGGUCCAAGCCCGCCGGUGUUGUCGAAAACCCGAUUUCGGCUGCCGUUGCGUCGCCAUUGCGGUGAUUCGGUCUCCGCUUUUACCAAGUGAGUUUUACUCACUAAUGCUUUCUUAGUUUGCUAAUUAUGCUUAGGGGUUGGUUAGAUUUAAUUAAAUGCAAUUAGGUGGUUAGAUUAGUCUAGAACAAUUAAAUUAGUGACUUAAUGAUGCAUAUUAGGUGGUUAGACUUAGUCAUUAACAAGUAGAGAGCUUCUAUUAUUUAUUGAACGUAUCUCGGGAUUUUUCCCGAUCCGUUUUGGCGUCCAAUCAGGCAUUACAGGCCUAAAUUGGAUUUUUAGUAUUUAUUUAUUUAUUUUUCGAAAUUAAUUAAUUAAUUAUUUAUUUUUCCGGAAAUUCAACCGGGAUGGCCGGUGACUGGAAUUUUAUGCUGAUUGUCGUGGUGCAGUCCGUUUAUUUAAUUGAGCUUUAUUUUGUGCGGAAAUGAUUUAUUUGUGAAUUUAGGAUUUAUUCCCUAAUUUAAAUAAUCUUGGAAAAUUAAUUGGAAAUUAACUGGGCAUCAAUUAAUGAUACCAAAACUGUUUUAGUGGACUACAGAAAAUGUUGGGAUUUAUAAAAAGGAAAUUAUUAUAUUUUGGUUAGAGCCAAUCGUGUACCCACACGUCAUUUUAUCGAAAAGGAUAAAAUUAGUUAUCCGAUUGUUUGCUUGGAAUGGCAUGUAUACCGGCUCGAUGACUCCACGGAACAUCUUCAGACAGGACGGUAUGAUCUACCGGCUCGAUGACUCUACGGACUCCACGGAGCAUCUUGAGACAUGACGGUAUGAUGUACCGGCUCGAUGACUCUACGGAGCAUCUUGAGACAGUACGGUAUGAUAAAUUGUAUGAUCUACCGGCUCGAUGACUCUACGUAGUAUCUUGAGACAGUACGGUAUGAUAAAUUGUGUGUAUACUGGCUCGAUGAUUCCACGCAGUACGGUAUGAUAAAUUGUAUGAUCUACCGGCUCAAUGACUCUACGGAGUAUCUUGAGACAGUACGGUAUGAUAAAUUGUGUGUAUACCGGCUCGGUGACUUUAUAUGUCAUCUUGAGACAGGACGGUAUGAUAUACCGGCUCAGUGACUCUACAAAUUAUCUUGAGAGAUUACGGUAUGAUAUACCUGCUCGAUAAUCCUAUAGAUCAUCUUGAGACAGUACGGUAUGAUUUGAUAGCUCGACGACUCUAUAUAUCGUCUGGGGAUAAGAUAACAUACUAGCUAUAUAUCACCUAGGGUGAGUAGUCUUGGAUGUUGAUCAGACUUAUAGAAAGUAUGGAUGGGGUCAAUCAAGAGAUAAUUUGGAUGACAUGUAAUCGACUAGGUCGAUUGAUCGAUGAUUCGGUCUGAUUGGGUGAGGUGAUGUGAUGAUGUAUAUUUGAUAUAUAUACUAACUUGCAUGAAUGAGCUAAGGCCAAUGUAAGUCCUCUGACUCGUGAUGUGCUUAGGCAGCCUAAGGUGUAUUAGUUUACUAAUAGGGUAUUAGGGGGUAGAAUUCGCUGAGACGUGGUCUCAUUGGUUAUUGAAUAACCAUUUCAGGACCCUGAGAAGAAGCUGAGGAGGAGGAACCUGAAGGGGAGAAAGACUUUUGAAGAAGCAGAUGAUUUAGAGAGGGAUCUUGAGUAUAACCCGGAUGUGAAUUGAGAUCCCAUCCCUUUUGUAAACCCUGUCUUGGUGUAGAUAGGUGUGAGACAAGUAUGCUGUGAAUAGUAUUGUAAAUAUACUAUGAGUUGUGCUGUUAAUGAAAGUGUGGUUGUGAAUUUCAAUAUGAAAAAUAUGGCAUGCUUUUCUAUCCCAUUGUUUUAUUAUCUGGGGAUUUAUAACUGCUUCCGCCUGCAUAAUAAAAUGAAAGGGUCGGCGAUACUUAGUCCUGGGAUAUCGCACUUUAAAAUCGACCAAUAAGAAGGAUGUGCACGACCCCGAGGAUUGGGGCGUGACAAAAAGUGAAGAACGUAUUUCACUUUUUGAAAACGCAACUGUUCAAAUAUACCCUUAUGGGCCCUAUACUUACGGGUCGGGUUUUGGCCCAAUAUGGGGGGACGGGCUUAAGUUAGCUCAUCAAAUAUGAAAAAACCCAUCAUCUUCCACUCGUACAUGGUAGGUCAAACAAAACUCUCUUUACCUCUAUGCAACAUUCAUAUUGGUAGAUAAUCCAUGCGACUAGCAUACUUUGAAAGUUUGUUGCCAUACAUCUAUUAGGAAUAUAUAGCAGCUUAUAAUGGGCAUUACAUUUUUUAGUAGAUAUAAUAUAUAGUACCCUAUAUCAAUCGAUUACAUUUAUCUUUCUUUAUCUCUUUUUAACAAUGAUAUAUUAUAUUCACAAUUAUGAUUAUCCUAAAAACAAUCAUAAUUGAUCGACCAGUGAAUACAAAACUAGAAUGUGAUUUUCCAAACCGGAUCUUCCUAUUUCCUUGAAACUCUCAAUUUCAAUUCAACUUGCCUUUCUAGAAAUAUCCCAGUAGAUCGAAUUAAUUUAUGAUCAUUGACAACAUUCUAAUAUAGCAAAUACUAAAUAGAAAUCUUGAGAAUAAGUAAGAGUCAUGAGGGCACUUAAUUAAGGAACUCUUUUCCUUAAGAGUCUCACACAGCAUAAAAGUUGAGAUAAAAACUUUUGCCACUCUUGGUGGUCGUCUCAUGCAUACCUAGUAUUAAAUACAAAUUACGGUAUUAAUUCUUUUCCCAUGGAGCGUAUGUCUACACCUUCAAUACCGUACAUAUGAUAAUUCAGAUAUAUCUAAUGUCUAACUUGAGUUUACGUAUUUACUCUUUCACGGAAUUCAUCAAAACUCACAUCUGGCAUCAUAGACAAAUAAAGUAAAAUAUGUGGGUUAUUUUACUUUCAGACAUAAUAAAUAGUUUGUCCUCAUCUUAACACUUAGUUAAGGUGACAUAUAUAUUUUAAGCUUGAGCUCUCGAUUAUCACUUAGAUAAUAAACUUAAAAAAACAAUAUCAUAUCUAUUUAUCACAUAAUAAAUAGAGGCGAUUACCUGUGUGAGCGGGCUAAUAUUUUAUCUGUCCGAUAUAUUUUCUCAAUUUUAUAUGAUGCACUAAGUAUUAAGUUGCAUAAACGCCAAACAAAAACUCAUAUGCAUUAAUAAUGAAAACAUAAAUUCGUUAAAUAUGAAUAUUUAAGGGAAAUUACAAUAUUUAGUACAUCAAUUUCUACGUAAUCCUAGAGAUUUCACAUGGCCACAGAACACAUUUCUAGGUAUUGGCUUUGUCGUAUGAUUUGCUACCAUUCUAUAUAUAGAUAUGUAUUGUAAGUUCACAUCUUUUCGUGCAACCAUAUCUUUGACAAAAUUAUACUUGGUAUCUAUAUGUUUGGUCUUGUCAUGAUAUUUUAGAUCUUUAGUGUACGCUAUUGCCACUUGACUAUUACAGUUAACCAACAAUGAGUUUGCAGCAUUUUUUUUUUUUUUUAGGUGACUCGGGAACCACUGUACAACCGGCAGUGUAAACCCGGGACAGAUUGAGCCACCACUGCAGACCCAGCCACGGGUGAAUCGCGCGAAUACGACGCCUCUGGGAUUCGAACUUCUCCCCUUCGUGAGGGGGAGAGAGCCCGAAGCUAGCUGCGCCACCGCAGGCGGUGGUAGUUUGCAGUAUUCUUAAUAAUACCUAAAUGAUCCAAAAAUUUCUUAAGCCAAACACAUUCUUAUAUUGCUGUUAAUAAUGCCAUGAACUCAGCUUUCAUCGUGGACAAUGCUAUACACGUUUGUUUCUUACUGCUUCAAGAUAUUGCGCAAUUAUUCAGUAAGAAAACAAAUCUAGAGACAGAUUUCAUUUCAUCUAAAUCUCCCCUCGAAUCAGCAUCUGAAUAACCUUCAAAUUAUAGAUCAUUUCCUUGGUAACUCAGCUAUAAUAAGCAGUUUCCUUCAGAUACUUCAGUAUUCUUUUGACGGCUUUCCAAUAUGUUUGACUUGGAUUGAUUGAUAUCUAUUUACCAUUCCAACUGCAAAACAUAUGUCAAGUCUUGUAUACAUUAUAGCGUACAUUAAGUUUCCAACAACACUAGCAUAAGAAACAUAUUACAUUUGUUCAUUCUCUUAUGGAGUAUUUGGACACAUUUUAUGACUCAAUCCUUCAUCUUUUACUAUAAGAGUAUCUAUGGGUUUACAAUCUUACACACGAAAUCGUUCAAGAAUAUUAUUUAUGUAUGUUUCUUACGAAAUAGAUAAUGAUCUCUUCGAACGAUCUCUUGAAGUCUUAACUCCAAGAAUGUAUGCAGUCUCACCCAUGUCUUUCAUCUCAAAAUUGGAAAAUAAUCAACUCUUGACAGUAUUAACAAACUCUAUAUUACUUUCGACGAUCAGCAUAUUAUCAACAUAUAAUGAUAUUAUCACAAAUUAAUCUUUGGGUCUUUUGAUAUGUACAUAAUAAUCCUCAUCAAUCAUUAUAAAAUCAUAUCACAUUAUAACAUUAUGAAAACAUAUAUACCAUUAUCUCAACAAUUGCUUAAGGUCAUAUAUUGAUCUCAAAAGUCGAUAUACCUUUUGUUCUUGGUAUUUCAAAAUGAAACCAGCGGGUUGUUAUAUAUAUAUAUAUCCAUUGAGAAAAACAGUCUUUAUAUCCAUUUGAUAUAAUUCAAAAUCCAUACUAGUUACUAUUGCCAAAAUUAAGCGAAUUGAGGUAAAUGUCAAUACAUAAGAAAAUGUUUCCUCAUAAUCAAUUCAUUCAUGUUGAUAAUACUCCUUUACCACAAAACGAGCUUUAUGUCUUUCUAUUGAGCCAUCAACUUUACCCUUUAUUUUAAGAACCUACUUGUUCCCAAUGAUUUUGCGUUAUUUUGGAAGAUCAACCAAUUCCUAAAUAUGGUUUCACUUCAUUGAUUCAAUCUCCUCUUCCAUUGCAUGUAUCCAUUUUUUCUUACUAGGGCAAUUUUGAGCCUCAUUUACAUUGCUUGGCUCAUUUUCAUUUUGUAGAGUAAUCAUAAAAGUUUCCCCUUCAAUGUUAAAAUAUCGACGGGGAAUACUUUUGCGACUUGUUCGUCAUACGAGAGAUUGUACAUUUGCACACCAUUCCUCAUUAUACUCACACUCGAAUUAGAUAAUGAAGAUAUCGUCUCGUCAUGUGGUUGUAAUUGAGAGUGAGUUGAAUUUGAUGCAUUACUUCUUAUGUUACUCAUACUUGGACGAACUCUACUAUGUUCAUUAUCUUGAUCUAAGAUUUUAAAUAUGGAGUAAUCCUUACAUAUUUCGCCUUUCUUAGGAAAUUCAUUCUCUAAGAAUGUGACAUUCUGUGAUAUGAAUUCAGUUAUACCCCAACUUUCCUACUCACCUAUAAACAUAUACCAUUUCGAGUGUUCUGAGUAUCUUAUGAAAAUAUUCUUCUUACCUCUAGGAUCCAAUUUCCCAAACUUGUGAGAGGGCUCAUGAGUAUAGGUAGCACAAUCCCAUGGUUUAAGAAAACUUAAAUCCGAUUUUCUACCUGUCCAUAACUUAUAUAGAAUGGGAGUAACUAAUUUGGAAGGUACACGGUUAAGUAUAUAUGCAACAACUAAUAAAGCAUUACCCCAAAAGGUGAUAGGUAAGUUAACAUGCGCCAUCAUGGACCUAACCAUUUUCAGUAGGAUUCUGUUUUUUCUUUCCGCAACGCCAUUUUGUUGAGGAGUAUAUGGAAUAGCUAACUAUCUUUCUAUUCAUUUUUUAUCACAUAAAUUUCUGAAUUCAUUUGAUAAAUAUUUUCGAUCUCGAUUGGAUCUCAAUACUUUUAUUUUAUCUAAUUGAUCUUCUACCAAGCUUAUAAACAUUUUGAAACAAUUUAUUGCUUCAGAUUUAUGAGAAAUCAAAUAGACAUAUCCGAAUAGAAUAUAACCAUCUAUAAAUGUGAUGAAAUAAAUAACUCCGUGCAUUCCUCUUAUAUUUAUUGGAUUAUAGAUGUCAGAAUGGAUUAAUUGCAAAGGAAAUUAAGCUCUUUUACCUUUUUUUAAAUGGUUUUCUUGUCGUUUUCCCUACUAGGCAAUGCUUACAUAUGGACAAAUCAACUUUUUCAAUAUUGCCCAACAAGUCCUCUUUGGCUAACCUAUUCAUAUGUUGUUGGCUAACAUGACCAAGUCUAACAUGUCACACAUUCACAUCAUUAAUAUAUGAAUUAGAAGAUGUGAAGAGGGAAUAACAAAUAUUGACAUUACCAUAGUCAACAUUCAAUACAAUAAAACCAUACAGAAAAUAAUCACAACUAUAGUAGUUUGUAUUCAAAUACAAAUCCAUACAAUUAUUAUGGAAGUUCAAACUAAAACCAAGUUUUACCAACACUAAAACAACUCUAAAUUCCGAUAAAUCUCCGAAGUAUACAAUACAUCAUGUAGGAAUAAGAUGCGUCCACCACGCAUGCUUAGUAUGUGUCAAUCCUUUUUACUUCAACUCUAAUGUUAUUUUUUACAUAUAUCCAUUUAGUUCCAAUCGGUACUCGUCAAAAUUUCACGAAGGAUUCUCUAUCCUUCGUCACAUGGUCUGUUGCUUCCGAAUCUACAGUCUACAAAUGAUUAGAUUUAAUUAAGAAUAUAGAACUUGAUACAUAAGCAAAGUUCUUAAGAGUAUAAGGGGUGUUUACCUUCUUUGACUCGCGACAGUUGCGAGCAUAGUGACCAUUCUUGUCACAAUUAUAACACUUUACUUUUGACAACUUUUUCAUUUGAUGACACUUUCCUCUUUUAUGUUGGUCAACUUUUGGUUUCUUCCCGAAGAACAUGCCCCCUUGCCUUUCCACCGUUUGAACGAAUUAGAACGUUUGCGCUUGGAACUUGAAUCCCUUUAUGAGCUAAAACCAACAUAAUAAAUGUCAAUUUCUGGCUUAGCCACUAAGAGGCGGUCCUCUUCUAUCUCAAGAUGGUGCACUGCGUCCUCAAAGGUGCACCUUCAUAUGCUCUUAACUUUGAGGCAAUGUUCGACCAAAAAAAAAAAAAACUUUGAGGCAAAGAAUGGAUCAUUGCUUGCACUUGCUGUUCAUCAGUCAAGACAUAGCCAGUAUCCUUCAGCUCAUUAAUCAUAUUUGACAUCUUUCUCAUGUGUUGUUUCAUGGUUUGACCACGGGGUUUCUUGUAAGAGUCAAACCUCAUAAUGAGCUACCUCAGUUUGGUCAUCGAUGUAUGACUAAAUCUUGUUGCCAACGCUUCCCACAUUUCAUUGGCAUUCUCAAAACGCUUGAACUCUCGCAUGACAUCAUUCUCCAUAACGUGAUGCGAGCAAGGGAGUUCUUUCUCUUCCUUGCAGUAAAUCCAUCCUUAUCUCUUUUACGUUAUGCAGUGUUCCCAUAUUCAUAUUCUUCCAUAAUCAGGUUAAGAGCUUUUAGUGUCUCUUAUUCUUCCAGCACAUAUUGGAUUUUCAUAUGCCAUAUUUUAUAAUUAUUGCCGUUCAGCUUCUCACAUUUGUUCAAUUUAGCGACUACACCCUAGUUACUGAAGUCAUUGGAUCUGAAUAUAUCAGACACAUAUGCACGAAUUAUUAUUGCCUACCAUUUAUGCAUUCAUUUUGCAUAAACUCAUCAUAUUAAUGAAUAAUUUCAAAUAAGAUUUCAGACUCAAAAUGUCACUAUAUUUCCAAUCAUCAUCCAAAAAUCCUAACUUGAAAUUAUCAUUAACAUAAUCGUUUAUGCAAAAAUAAGUUCAGGAAAGUCACUAAAACUUUCUCAAACUUCUCACAAAGAAUUGUAAAUUAACAUACUAAUUUACAACGAUAGAUAACAUUGAACUUUCAAUAAUUAAACAUGUUAUUUACACUAAGUAAUAUAUUCGGAGGAAAUAUAUCAACAUAUAAAGAGAUAUCUACACUUAAAAAUAUCUCAAACUAAUCUAAGAAAAAUAAAUAAUUAAACCCAAGUAAUUUCAUCUAUCUUAUAAACUAGGAAAGUCUUUUCUCAUUUCUUAGUAAAAUUCUUUGAGAAUUUUGAAGCCAUGUUGGUCAACCACAAAAAGACUUUUGAAGAGCUCUCAUGGCUCCUCCAAGGCACAUUCAUUCUGCGCCAUGUGACUCUCAACCCGAGGGUUGAAGUCUUGGUUGCCUCGAUUCUAUAAUACUCUCUUACAAAAGCUAUUGCAAGCCUUCUAUAAGAUAGAAUUAUGUUGACCUCCCAUAGGCUAUCUAACAUUGUUUGCCAUUCUGGUGGAAGAGUGUUCAUUAAAGUUGAGACCUUCUUAGAAUCCGACAUAGGAUAAUCAUUCCAGAUGAUUUUUUGUAUCAUUCGAUUAACCCUGAUCACGUGUGAUACUACAUUACCGUCAUUACAUUGAUAAUUAACUAAUUCUGUUUUUAGUCCUUCAAUUCUCACCUUUUGUUCGUAUAUUAUCGGAAAUAUAGGCAUGCGUACAAAACGCAUCAUGGUUCCUGCAACAAAUGCAGAAUAAAAGGAAUUACUUAUAAUUCACAACGAACAAAAAUAGAAAAAAACAUAAUUUUCCCCUUAUAUAUAUAUUUUGCCAGUCAAUGCCGGUCAACGACCAGUCAACCCAAGUCAAGGACUGGUCACCUCUGGUCAACGGUGGUCAACUCUUGUAAUAACAUCGAACAAUAAGGGCAUAAUCAUAAAAACAACUAUCAAUGGCAAAAACGUAAUUUUUUUUAGAGAAAAUAGGUGUAAAUCCAUAAAACCCCUCACGCGCUAGUAGUUGCUACACGAGUGCAGUUACCGCGCGCCUGCGAUUAGCCCCAUGCGCACGUGCUACGCAUGCACCUGGGAACCGCACGCGCCAACGAUGCCGGACUUUUCGGCUGCACGUGGUGGCGCGUCCUGUGGUCCCCGACAGCAAUCCACCCAUCAUUUUUCUCGUCUCGAUGAGAACUACGACCCUGCACUAUCAAAAACUUGUUUUGAUUCACCGAAAAUAAAAAAAAGAGGGGGCGAAUAGUACAGGGUGUUGAGAUUUCCGUCUCCGACCGUCCAACGGCGACGUUUCUCGAAAUUUCAACAAAAAGCAAUUUAUAAACAUCAACACUGAUCGGAAAACAUGAACAACAUCGCUUUGAUAUCAAUGUUGGAAAAAAUAUUCCCAAAAAAAAAGAAAAGACGAGGGGUCCAAUUACGUGGAGAGAAGCUGCGACCCCAUCAUGUAAGUUUGGAACUUCGACUGCUCCAUUGAUUUUCCUUUUUGCUCGUAUUAGUUUUUGAAUGGUUGUUGAGGUUGAUCUUUUGUUUGCGUUUCUUUGCUGGUUAAUGAUUCAAUUUUAGCGCUUUGCUGCUGGGCUAAUGUAUGUUUGUGUAGAAGAGUUGGAUUUUAUGCCCGCAUUUGAAAGCUUUGGGAAGGCUCGAAAAACUGAAUCGGAGUGGUGCUUGUUCAAAAGCGAACCCUCUAUGUCAGGAAUGAGGAAAUAUCGCCAAAGAUGUUUUUUUUGUUUUUGUUUUUGUUUUUCUUGGAGCUGUUGCUGCUGUGACAAAAGGUGGGAAGGGAAGAAGGAGGAGGGAAAAAAAGAAGAAGAGAUAAGUGUAUUAAAAGUCCUAAAAUUUAUCAUAAAAGUGUAAUUAUCGCAAAAUUUUUCAAAUAUUGCAAUCAAGUCAUAAAACUCGUUAGCAUUUUUUAUUUGUUAAGUUGGAUGGAGUUAAUGGAAGGAUUUCAUUGCACUUUUUCAAAAUUUGCUCAGUUGUAUUUUCGUAAUAAAUUUUAAGACUCAAUUGCACUUUUUGAAAGCUUAAAGACUCAAUUACGCUUUCAUGAUAAAUUGUAGGAUUUCCAUUACACUUAUCCCAAAAAGAAAAGAUAAGAGAAGUUUGUGACCUAGAACAUAAGCCUUAUGAACUACCAAAACCCAAGCCCUAGAAGAUAAAGCCAAAAUAGCAAUCCAUUUCCCCAUUCUACAAACCUAUUUACAAGUGGAUUGAGAAAAAUUCCUCCCAUAAUUUAGAACCACUCAAGCCCGGAGAAACCUAUCCUCCUAUUGAUCUAGUGCCAAAUGCCUAAAACCAAUUUACAAGUGGUUUGAGAAAAAUUCCUCGUAUAAUUCAAAACCACUCAAGCCAGGAGAAACCCAUCCUCCUAUUGAUCUGGUGCCAAAUGCCCAAAAAAUUCAAGAGUCUGAACAACAUAUGGCCAAACCCCAGAAGUUUACAUGUUUUCUCCUACAACCUUUGCUCCUUUGACUCCCAAGCCGAACCGAACCAUGCUUUCGAUUUGGGUCAAAACAUGCACACAUCCCAUUUGGUUCACUUUGUUUUGGGUGUUAUGCAAAUCUGAACCAAAUUGUUGACACCGCUUAACAACUCAUGUAAGUCAUUUCCCUUUUAGUUUUUUUUUUUUUUGGUCGAUAAUUUCCCUUUUAGUUAAUAUGCACUUUUAAUGAUGACAAAUCGGUUAUCCACAAUUGAUAGAAAUGAUCAAUUGGACAUCACAAUUAAUUCUGACAAUAAAUUUGGUACAUUAACUCUCAUGUCCACGAAAACGUUUGCGUAAUUGUGAUUCAGCAUUGGGUAUCAUACAUUAACGUGUUGUCAAGUUCAGAAAAAAAUAUUAUAGGUUUGACAAAUAUUGCGAUUUAUCAUCGUUAAUUCCACUUCACAAUUUAUCAGUCCAUACUUAUAUUUGCUACUUUAUUUUGGUCCCAAGACUACGAGCAUAGGGGACUUUCCUUUUUUCUCCCGUCAUUGACGUUUAGAUUAAAAUGAGUUGGGACCCAAAAUUACGUCAAUGAUAGAGGGUACGAGUUCCAUUAUAGGAGAAACAUAACUCCGAUGGCAAUGGAGUUGAGCUCUUUGUGAUUAUUAUUUUAUUUUCACGAUGGCUCACUUAGGACGCUAUCCAGCCACUGUGAUGAUGAUACGAAUAUGGAAGAAAGCAUACAAGCCUAAAAUAAAGAUUUGCGAUUUUGUCAGUUGGAGUUAUUAAUAACGGAGGUUUGAUAUUGAAUUUCGAACAAAAAUGAGGAGCCACCGUGAGGCGCGAUGGAGGCGCCUCAUAACAUUCUUAACCAAGACAUGGCUACUUAAAAUAUCAAAAUUAGUCAAUAAGAGUACAAACAAACUACGUGUUUAAAAAUCUAUUUCAUAACUAAUUUUCUGAUAACACGAAUAUUGAUCCACACAUUCAACACAUGCUAAACCUAAACCAAAUCAGAAUGAUUUCGAUAACAACCGCACAUGAUAGAUUUGAUGCCGAGUUGCUUUUAUUUUUUAUUUGAUCCUAUAAUAUAAGUUAAUUGAAAUGUUUUUAAACUUUGUUUAUUAAAAGAAUUAGGAAAAAUUUCACCCUCAUUUUUUCAAAUAAAAACCCGAAGUAAACAUUAUUUCAAAUAAGGGUCUAAAGUGGUUAAAUCAUGUCAAAUGAGAACUUUUGGCUAGCCAGUGACUAUUCCGACCAUCGAAGAAGUGGUAUUUUAAUCAAAAAAUUCUGUUAUUUUUUUUUCUUUGUUUGUUUUUUCUAUUUUCCUUUUUCCUCUUCCCUCCCCCGGCCAUCACCAUGCCUCGUCAAUGGCUGGCGAGUCACCAGCCUCAGGUGAGGGCUGCCCUUGCCCAAUGCUGACAAGGGCAACCCUUGCCUGAGUUUGAUGACCUCCGCCAUAGUUGGCGAAGGGAAGAGGGGAAAAAUAAAAAUAAAAUGAAAAGACGAAAAUGCCCUUUGGCCAACAAGGUUAGGUCUUUCUCUGAGAUUUAUAUGGGCCUGUUUGGUUUAGCUUCGGGGAUGAGCAUUUGGACUCUAAAGUCCCUUGGCCAAAUGCAAAUGUGUUUGGUUCGAGUUUUUGAGCUACUUUGGCAAGAUGCAAUUGCAUCUCCAAAGGCCCCUAAGGGCCCUUAGGCCAAAGCAGGUCCGGAGGUCCUUUGGAAACUUGCAUUUCUGAAAUGCAAGUUCCGGUUACUGUUCACUUUGCGGUUACCGUUCAUCCGCGAGGAAAACCACCGCACGGAGGCCGACGAUUGCCGGCCACGGGGGUUGUGCAUGCUGGUGACGCGCUGGCGAUCACCGCCUGAGGGUCGCCGGACCUCAGGUGACGCCUGAGGUCGUGUGAACCCAAGCGACGGUCGCCUGAGGUUGACUAUCGCCAGGGUCGCGCGACCUUAGGCAACCAGGCAGCCGUCGCUUGGGUUCGUGCAACCUCAGGUGACGGCCGCUUGAGGUCACGUGAACACAGGUGACGGAACCUAGGCGGCUGUCGCCUGGGGUAGCGCGGCCUCAGGCGGCCGUCGCUUGGGGUCGCCCGACCCCGGCGACCCUCCAGAGGCCAGAUCCGGCCAUCCGAACGGCCGGAUCCCGCGGUCUGGUGGCCGGACUUAAAGUUGUUUUUUGCUUUUUUAAUUUAAUAAAAGUUAAUUACAAAUGCAAAUUUUAUCAAACGAUAUUUUGGCCAAAGUUGUUUUUUAAUGCAAAUUACGAUGUUUGCAUUUCGAAAAACCCUCUUCACCCAAAGAUAUUUGCAUUACUACAAAUGCAUUCCCCAAAAGCCGAACCAAACAUGCCCUAUGAUUACUCCAAGCUCUUAUUUAAAACAAGUUUUACUUUAUGUCCUUAUUUGAGAAAACGAUGACACUUUAGGUCAUUAUUUGAAAUAAUAUCCACUUUAUGUCCUUAUUUGAGAAAUGAGAGUACUCCAAGCCCUUGUUUGGAAUUUUUUCAAAGAUUCAAGGAUCAUUAUUUCUAUUGUAUAUAUAUUUGGACCUCUACCAAUGAAUGUCAUCAAAUUCUUUUCUGCUGUCAUUUGUCUAUAUAUAGUAUCAAAACUCGAUAAGAGCACGCAGAACUCUUCCCUACAGGCUACACCAAUGGUUGCUGCUCCCAAAUAUCCUUUUCCCUUAUCUGGGAGACUCAAGUCUUGUCCCUAGUUGAAACUCAACAUAUUCAUGGUUUCCUACUAGGAAAGAGCUGCUCCUCCACCAAAACUUGAUCAAGAAAACGGCUGAUCUUGCCGAAUCUUAGGUCAUCAUUAGCCUCUGUGAAGAAUUUUUUGGACUUGUGGUAGGGCUUAAGACAGCUUCACAGGUAUGGAAGGCUCUAGCGGAGCAUUACACUCAAAGCUCUAUCGCUCUGGAAUUUGACCUCCUUGCAGAAUUGCAACUUAUUGAAAGAGGGACUAAAUCCUUAGCUGACUAUCUUAGAGGAUUCAAGACCAUCUGUAAUCAGUUUAAGUGCUGUUGGUCAACCUAUUUUAGAUACAAAUGAAGUUUUCAGGUUGCUCGAAAGGCCUUGGAAACAACCACGCGCCUUUCAAGACCACCAUGCUUCGACCACCCCUUCCGUCAUAUGCAAAAAUUGUUCCACAGCUUCAAAGCUAUGAGCUACGUGAAAACAGAAGCAUGACAGACGAGGUCUUCCUAUCGGAUUGUAAUCACGCAGGUUGUAUACCAUCAGAAACAAUGUUAUAUCUAUCAACAAACAAUGUUAUUUCUGUCAAAUUAGAAAAAGCGCUAUAUUGUCAUUUCAUUCCUCUGAUUUUCAAUGUUCCCAUUUUUUGGACAACACACAUUGUAAUAUACGGGGACCAACCCAGUUUCUUUGUCACAAGAGUUUUGGUAUUAUGUGGUGUUUAUUGAUGAUUUCUCACCAAUUUUGUUGGUUAUAUCCACUGAAGAGGAAAAUUUGAUUGUUUUAAAAUAUUUUUGUCAUUUCCAAAAUUUGUGGAAACUCAGUUCGAGCGAAAAAAUCAAGAUUUAUAAAUCAGGUGGAGGCGGAGAAUUUCUAGUUGUAGUCAACUUGAAUACACUUGAUAGAUGCAGCCAAAGUUAGAGACCCGAGGUCAACAUAAAUAAUUCACUGUCUUGACUAGAAAAAGGUACCCUCCCACGUACCAUUCUUAAACAAAAUAUGGUUGCUUAAAAUCAUAACAAGCAAGCGCCAGCCAGAGAAUGUUUUUGAAGCAACUGUAGAAUACCUUGUGUGUAAUUCUUAGUAAUCUUCAGGAAAGAUUCUUGGGUCAAGAAUAGAAGCACUCACCUGUGUCUACGAGGGCUAUCGCAGAAAUGAGUUUAUCAUAUUUGGAACGUAUGGCUUGAUAAAGACGUUUCUUGAACUAGCACUUCGGAUACUCUGGGUGUUUGGAUCUUUUUGGGAUUCAUGGAUAUUCUGGGAUUCGUGAGAGAAGAAAUAGAGACCAUCACUUGGUUCUUCUAAAUCAUCGGGUUCGUUAAACUCAACAUCAUUAUUUUGGAGAAUGUUUCGAUGAUGCAGAUGGUUUUAUCAAUGGUCCAUCUUCAAGAGAGAAAAUAGAUUCAAGGUCGCCUUCUUCAAGAGAGAUGACCGUCCUUUUUUCAACAGCAUUCACAAGAUUCAUUCUGCUCUUCUUUGCCUAAUAGCAAUUUUUGGCGAAAUACCCUUUGCGUCAACAAAUAAGAGAUUUGCCUUCUUUUUUUCUUUUUCCUGUUGCUGCUACUUCUUUCUUACUUACUCUUCCUGAGAAAUUUUCAUUUGCCUCUUUUUCUCCAUUUAGAAGAGUACUUCAAAUCUCUCUUUCUUAUUUAAGCAAUCACAAGACAAAUUCUUAUGACCACAUAUGAUUUCAAGCCCAACUUUUUGCAAGCUUUAUCAAGAGCUUUGUUGUUUUCUAUAAAUUCUUUUAAUGCCUUCUUACGUAGGUGUUGCUCAUCAAGAGCAGCAUGAACACCUUGUUGGAUUUCCCCAAGUGAGGCUUCAAGGGUUCUUCUAAUUUAGCUCUGGAAGAAUUUGCCUACCAAAUUAGCAAUUUGCUUUGAUAGGAAGACAAGAAACCGGGUUUCAAAGCUAUAGCUCCGCCUAGAGCACAGUAAAGCUUCAUUUCUUUAAAGUGCCUGUCAAAGUCCUUCCUUUUAAUUCGAGGAGCAAUUUCUUUCGAAGAACUACGUUCUCUUUUGUUCUAGGAGGUCUUCUGAGCUGCCCAUGAAAUAUAGAUAAAGAAUCUAUAUAACUUGGUUAAAAUCCUAGGCCAGAAAAGUAUUCUGGUCAACUAGUGGAAGGUUCAUCCAUCAAUCUAGUAGACUACCCAUAAAUCUGCUAACAAAUUCCAAAAGUAUGUCAAAGUGAUUGAUUUCUAGAUUUAACAAUAAGGCAUUCAUCCGGGCACAGAACUCUUGCAAUGAUCCAAGCCAUUAGUGAUAUGGAAGACAUCAAGGGCCAAUGAAAGCAUAGAGGUGAUGGGGCUACCGAAAUUGGACUAUGCUGGUUCUUGAUCAUUUCUUCCUUACAGAUCUUCAUCUUCUUCCCUCAUCAUGAAACUGAUUGGGAGGAUAGCUUCUGCUUCUGAGUGUUAUAAUUAUGAUUAAUGGAUCAACAAAAACUAACAAAUUAAGAUACGUCUUUUCUGUUCACAUAUCUAUUGAAUUCAUGAAUUUCCUAGAUUCACCUAUCUUUUAAUUCAUAUAUUUAUUGAAUUCACGUGUUUCUAGAUUCAUGAAUCUCUUGGAUUCGCGUAUCUCUUAAUUCAUGAAUUUCUUGGAUAUUUGCGUCUAUUCAUAUAUCUCUUAUGUUCAUGAACUUUAAAACUCUAUAAAUAGAUAAGAGCAUAGAGCUUCUUUCGUUAGAACAAUUCGAGACUACGAUUCCAAAAGAGAUUUGAAAUACUACUCUACUCUUCUAAUUUUUUUGGGUGUGCUGGGUCAAUUAAACGAUUUGACUGAGUCCUGUUUGCAUAGUGCUAAUCCAAACAGGUUCGAGGUGUUGUAUCUUGGGAGGCAUAAUUUGUGAAUCUGCGGAGCAUCAUUGGUAGGAACUAAUUCCCUUAAGGAGAUUCAGAUAUCCAUACAUCAUCUCUAAUUUUAUUUAUUAUUCUAGUGAUAUUUUAUUUUCUUCUUCUCCAAGAUUUGUAAGUUUAUAUAAAAAGAAUGAUAUUAUAAAACUAUUAUCGUCUUCUUUACAUUGAUGUUUUGAUUACAACAAAUAGUUUGCUUUCUCUGGAUUAUAUUCCAAUAGUCUUAAGGCGAUUAGUUCGCUCAUUGUUUGUUGUUCCUGUCAGAUUAUUGAGAUGGCUGAAAACAAUCAAGUGCCCUUCAAUGUCCAGAAUGCUUCAGGAGACGUUUCUAUGGUCGAUUCGACCGUUGUUAUGGAAGAUGUUUAGCCCUCAAGGUCUGAAUUUGUAGCAACCAAUGCUAUGGGCCAUUGGGCCAACACCAAUUUUGGUGGUGCGGGUACAAGUCAUACGACCGGUAUGCUUGGGAUUGUUUUUCAAAACAGUACGGACCAAAUGGCUUUUGGCUCCAUUUUUAGAGGGAUAGUUCAAUGAACCUUGCCUAUUGUGAUGGCAACACCUCCAAUUAUAGCUAAUGAGAAACAUGAGAAAUUCACCGGAGUGGACUUUAAACAGUGGCUGCAAAAGAUGUUCUUCUAUCUGAUCAUGCUAUAUCUGACAAAGUAUUUAUCGGAGGUGUGCCCAAUAAUUAGUCCAGAUGAGCACGAUGUCAUGACGCUUGGUGCAUUUGAGGCUUGGAAGCAUGGGGACUUCUUAUGCCGAAAUUAUAUUCUUAACUGUGUUGACACAUAAUUUUUAUCUUUCAAGUAGUAUAUAUAUAUAUAAGGGAAAGAGAAAAAUCAAAAUCAAAAUCAGAAAUUUUAAUUAUUAAUUUUCCUUUUAAAAAAAAGGUCGUGUGGGUCCGGGUCGGGUCAAAUCCAGCCUUGGCCCGACUCGGCCCUUUUUCCCCUUUAUUUCCCCCCGCAUGGACCUGGGCCCAAUCCCUCUCCUCUCCUUUUUCUUUUUUUUUCUUUUCCCUCGCGUGGCCCAGCCUUGUCUUCCCUCCGGCCCAGCCCGCCCUGUUGUCUUCUCCCUUAGUCGUCUUUUGCAUGGGGAAUCGGCGAAGACGAAAGCAGAAAGCAGCCGUUCGCGUGGGGAAAUGGCGAAGCCGAAAGCAGGGGCAGCCAGGGCAAAGGAGACAGCAUCAUCUCGCGAGGCAGGCGAGCGUUGGAAUCGUCAAGAGAGGUCAGAGCGGGCUAGCAGAGUGGGCUAGUUGGGGGAAGCCGAGGGCACGCGCACGUGAGCCAAAAGAUCGAGAAAGGGAGAGAUCUGGGGAGAGGGGAGAAAGCACGAACGGACCGAAAAACAGAGAGAACAAGAAAAGGAAGAAAACAAAAACAGGGGGAGGGCCAGGGCGAGAGAAACAAAGAGCAAAAGGAGGGGGAACUCACCGAGGCCACCGCCGUCGACGCGUCUCCCGACCGCUGCAACCGCCGCAGAGGCGUCUCCAAGCUACCAUCCUCGUUGGAACUCAGGUUGGCAUUUCAUCGAAUACCUAGUGUGUAUUUUUGAGCUUGAGCUGGCCGGAGCUCGUUCCAUCCGUUUUGAGCGAGCUCCGGCCUCCGUAGGUCCCCUCUUAUAUCCUCAUUUAUUGUUGUUUAUUUAUUGGUCACCACCACCGCCACCUCAAAGCCCCAUUUAGGUCGAAAGCCGCUUGGUUCGUUAUGCCCAUCACCUGUUCGCCGUAAUGCCCAAGUAGGCUUUCCCUCCCCGGUUCCUUUGUGUAGAGUCCAGCUAGUCUCUUAGUCACCGGAAUGCUGCCGCCGUCUGUCGGAAAGCCAGACCGUGUCCCUCUGAAACGAGGCGGCACCGUCGUGCCCCCAAUCGGAUCGCCGGCCCCCCUUCGCCCCUGUUUUCCCCGCCGUUGCAGCACCCUAGUUGUGACUGAGCAGUCGCUGACCAGGGGAGCGCGGGCCAAGCUUGGCCAGGUCUGCGACCUGGCCCGCUCUGCCUCUCCGGGCUUGCAAGCCCACUGUCCGGAAUCAACCUGGACCGUGGGCCUGCGAGUAAAUUUUUUUUAAAAAAGGGACUUGGGCCCUCCGGAUUGGGCCCAAAUCCGGUCUGCCUCCGGAUUGGGCCCAAGUCUGGUCUACCCUCUAGCAGGCCUGGUCAGGCGGACCCGACCCGUCUUGCUUGGGUUGAGCCCAGGUCGAGUUCGACUCGACCCCGUCUGGUCCCAAAAAAAUCAUAAAAAAAUUAAAACAAUUUCGAAAAAUUAAAAAAUAUAUAUUAAAAAUAUAUUUAAAAAAAUUUAAAAAAAAUUAAAAACAUUUUAAUUAAAAAAAUUUGAAAAUUUAAAAAUGAUGGGGUUUGGUUAGGAGUUACUAUGUUUUGCCUUUUUAGUGUAAUUAGGCCUUUAGUUGCUUGUGUUUUGAUUAUAUGUUGUAUGUUUAAUAUGCAUAUCUAAUUAUGUUUAAUUGCACGUAUUUAAUUUUACUACAAUUAGGAUUUUGAUAGGUAUGAUUGUUAUUUUAAUGUUUGUGCACUGGCAUGAUCACUUCAUAUGUUAGUGGAUAGGUAUAAAAUCAAUCUAAAUUGCUUGCCAAAAAUCAUUUUGUUAAAAUGAACAAGAUUAAGUACCGAAAGGGCAUUAAUUGUUCAAUUAAUGUAAUCAAGUCCCCGACCUUAGAUUCUCUGGUUGCGUAGGAAGUGAGGUACACUCCCGGGGGCUUCACUUGGUUUCUAGCCAACCCAAUAGGCUAGUGGCGACUCCUGUUAUGCGAAUUUCUUUAGAAUAUUCCAACGUCACACGAGGUAUGGGCUUGGGAGAGCCCGCGCCUGAUCAUGGGCCUUAGGCCCGUCCUUUAGGCAAUACCCCUAAACCUGUUCCCUCCCCUUGAGGGUAGGUCGCGACAAACUGUUUAGUGAAUUCUCUAUAUAAUGCUUAUUGUAAUAUUGAAUCUGCUAAAUAGUUAUUGGAGUACUAAUCGCUCGUUCAAGAAGGCAAUAAAAGAACAAGAGAAAAUGAUCUUGAACAAUGACACCUCUCUUAUGUCAUGGUGGUUGGUGCUAAUUUGUUGAUCAGUCCACGUAUGUGCAAUGAAAUGAUGAGAUCAUACAAAUGGAAAAAGAUCUGAUUAAGCAUGGAAACAGAAAAGUUUGGAAAUACACCCCGAAAAUGAUAUAUUUGACACGGCAGAACUCGUUGAAUUUCCUACUUUGGUCCAUUGUAUGGGCCACAGAUGUUGGUCCUUUUCACGUAAAAUAUGUAUGGUCCAAGCAAGAUUGAAGUUGGUCAUUUUAUGUAAGCGUGGCCCAAAUAAGAUCUGGAGAUAAUCCAUCUUUGGUAGCACUUUCGCUCAAACACGCCUAAAAUUACUUUCUAAUGUCAAUCCAAAUUACGGCCAUGGAGGCCGUUGGCCUCGCGCUACCGCAGAGACCUUCAUGGACACGAACGACCACCUUGAUCUCCAUGGCCUCGGGCAUGAGAGAGAGAGAGAGAGAGAGAGAGAUGAGCGGAGUGGAGGAGAUCGAGUGGCCAGGAUGUGGGCGACCACGACAGCUUGUGGUGGUGACAGACGAGCGGAACAUUUGGGUCGGGGAGGAGGAAGAAGAAGAAGUACGGCAGUUACACCACGGAUGUGUGGGAACUUGGGAAGGACGAGGAAAAGAAAAUAAGAUGAUGAAUCUCAGCCAUUCGAACAAGUUAUAUGCUUUUAAAAGAUUCAGGAGCUCUUCUAAAACCAGUUUGACGUUGUUCAACGUGACGAACCACAAUAUAAUUCCCGCACUACAGAGUUUCUUCAGCCGUCGUUUAGCUCCUGGAAGUUGGAGUGGAUACCAAGAGAGAGGAACAAAGCUGCUCAUGAACUUCUUCACUGCCCUUUUCUUGAUUCUUGCCCGGUUUGUUUGCCUGAAACUGUUUCUGAGACCAUCAGGAGGAGGCUCCCGCUGUAUUGCUUAGAAUAGGUUGUAAUUUGAGUUUUCGGGAAUGGCAUUAUGUCUUUGUUAUUUUGGUAAAUAAGACGUAAAUUUGCGCCCUUAAUGUAGAGGAUAUCAGUUCUACAUAUGCUAGAGGCAGUAGCGUGUACGUUUGGUGGUUAUGCAUGAAAAGAAAGUGUAUAGUUUUGUUUUUCUCCGUGAGAAGAAAGUUGGUAGUUAUUUCGAGGAUGUGAUGGUUUCAUGGAAGUAACUACUCGUCAACAAACAAAAAUGAUCUAAAUUCCAAAGUUUUAUGAACUAGCUUUAUGGUGUUUGAAGGCUAAAAGGCAAUCCCUUAUAUAAGGCUGAGGUAGCCAUAUAUUUAUUGGAUAGCAAAUCUAUCUCAAGGGGACAAUUACGAAAAAGUCCUAAACACAUUACAUUUGUACUCAUUUAGUUCUGAAUAUUUCAAUUGCAUCAAUUGAGUACUAAACAUUUUUACAUUUUACUAAUUGAGUUUAUUAAGUCAAUUUUGGAUGGAAAUUACUAACAUAGACGAUGGCCAUGCUAUGUGAUCCAGUUGGUGUUGACUUGGGUAUUUUUUAUGGAAAUUACUAACAUAGACGAUGGCCAUGCUAUGUGAUCCAAUUGGUGUUGACUUGGGUAUUUUUUAAUUUUUUUUUUUGUUCUCUUUUCUUUACUCUUUUUUUUUUUUUGGGAGUGAGGACAAACCAGUAUUGGUUGAAGAUCGCAAUGCCUUCAUAGGUUGCUCUAGGUGAGGGCUCGUGGGCCCUCGCUAUGGCCAGUGAGAGUGUAGUGACCCUCACUUGAUGCCCUCUCUAGCCACGGCGAGGGCAUGUGGCCCCUCUCUUGUGGUUGGAAAAAGUUGGCCAAUGACCUUUGUUUGGCCCUUAGUCCAAAAAAAGAAAGUAAAGAAAAGAAAAGGAAAGAACAAAUAAAAAAAAUUAUUAAAUAAUAGUUAUGCCACAUAAGAGGGCUAGUGGCCAUGUUAAUGAUUUUUGACUAAAAUUGGGCAUAUAAAUUCCAUGGAAAAAAUGCAAAAAGGUUUAGGACUUAAAUGACACAAUUGAAAAUUCAGAGUUGAAUUAGUACAAAUGCAAUAGAUUUACUAUUUUUUUGGUGAUUUCCCCGUCUUUGGGAUCCAUGGUUCCUUCAUGGUAUUAGAAAUUUUCUAUUCCAUAAAGUGGCAAGUGGAGAAGAUACUCACAUAACUAGUUCAUCUUGUCAUGCUAAUAAUACCACUCUUAAACUUAAGAUAUAUGAUGAUGUUUUUCCUAGAAAAAUUCAGUAGUUUAUAACGAAUGUUCGCCUCCUUAUUCAGAAUGAGUCUGAGGCUAGCUCUUUUGUAUGAGUUUAACACUUGUGGUUUUAGACGAAACUAAGUGGAGGAAUAUCAAAACCAUCAGCAUAAUAUUGGUUGAGAUCUUAUUGCUUUAAUUUUGUUUGUCGAUAGAUCUAAACACUAAUUAAAAAUGUGAAGCUCAAGAGGGUGUUUCGGAACUUUCCUGUUCCAAUUAUGCCCUUCGCCAUUUGCACCCUUUGAUAUCCCGAAGAUUGUGUCCUUUAAUGUCAUGAUAGAAAGUCUCUCUUAGUUCAAGUAUAUCAAUCAAAAUUCAAGUCCUUUACAUGUGAAACAACACAACUCUUACUCAUAUCCUCACACGUAAAGGAACACAACUAUUACUAUCCAACUAUAUAUUUUUCAAACUAAGCAUGAAAGUAACAUGCAUCAGAAUUUAAGAAUCAUAGUUAUUAUGAAAGAAACAACUAUUACCAUCCAAAUAUAUUUAUCAUACUAAGCAUUUAUCAAACUAAGCAUCAGUAACAUGAUUCAAAAUUAAAGAGUCAUCAUCGUAUAAUCCUCAUGACGCUUUGGUCCGAAAGAAUUUUGGACUGAAAUUGAAGAAGUCCCACCCUCUUUUCUUCCUAGGCUUCAGUGGAUGGUAGAGGCGAGGCCGAUAAAUGGAUUCGACCAUUUCCGAGUACAAGGGAAACUGUACGUAGAAUAAAAAACAAACAGGGAUGGUAGCCAGCAAGGUUAUUAGGAUGUAAAUCCAUUUAAACCUUUCGCUGAGGAUGAUCGUAAGACCAGAGCCGAACGCCACCAACGUAAAGACCAAAGAGAGGAAGAGAGACCUGAUGCCCAUUAUCAUCUUUCCUGGAAGGGAGUGGAGAAUAUCUUCGAAUGUGUAGCAUGGAAUAACAAUGGCCAAGAAAAUCACAGUGGCAGUGACAGAGGAGAAGAAAGCGAGAGUGUAUGUAAUUGCGAAUAUCAUGAAUGAGUCAUUCUUUAGAAAAAUUGGGAUCCCCUUACUGUUGUCAUAGCCCCCAGGAACUGUAAAAGCUGCAGUGAUUGCUACUGUAAUAAUGAGAGUUGCAAUGAGGCUACAAGAUGAUGAUGUAUUAUUCUUCAUCCACUCUCCUGCCUCUUUAAGCAAAUCUUGACGCUGCUCUACAAAAAUUUCCCAGUAUGUUUUCCCUCCCCUUUCUUUCGUUUCUACCAAUUUCAGACUUCUAAAAGAAGGAUCACCCCUAUUUUCCAGUACCUUCAGAAAAAUAAAGGAUGCCUAUCAAUGUAAACGUAAAUUAAAAAGAACAAAAGUACGGCAAGUAACUAAGGUGAACCGACCUUAAAUUUCAGAGUUUUAAAGGAAGGAUCACUCCUAUCUUCCAAUGCCUUAAGAAAAAUAACCAACACCUAUCAAUUUAAUUUCAGAUAAAAAGAGCACAAAAGGGUGACAAACAAAUAAAAUGAUCAAACCUUGAACCACUGAAGUUCCUUCUGCAAAAGAAAAGCUGCUCCAGGAACAUCUGCUGAUACACAUCUUGGUGACCAUUCUACUACUGCCUCCAUCAGUUCGCGGUUCGUAAAAAUGUCAUCACUCAGUUUUGGAAUUCUGUUGUAUGCGUUCACUAGUCUAAAUAACUCAAGUUGUCGUCCGUUCACAACUUCUCUCAUCAAUUCUUUUGGGAAAUCGUUGUCCCACAUUAACUCUGGAUAAUUGUCAAGACAUAAUUUGACAAUUUCAUGGGUUCCGCGAGAUGUAGAGUCAAGGAUAAUGCCUGAAGUCAAUAAAAACUUGACUAUUUCCGAGGAUUUCAUAUUUUUAUUCUUCAGAACAAGUUCUUCUGCAAACUCUAGUGA